rnacentral:rRNA from 1 species
AGAGCGAACGCUGGCGGCAGGCCUAACACAUGCAAGUCGAGCGCCCGUAGCAAUACGGGAGCGGCAGACGGGAGAGUAACACGUGGGAACGCGCCCUUCGGUUCGGAAUAACUCAGGGAAACUUGAGCUAAUACCGGAUACGCCCUUACGGGGAAAGAUUUAUUGCCGAAGGAACGGCCCGCGUCCGAUUAGCUAGUUGGUGAGGUAAUGGCUCACCAAGGCGACGAUCGGUAGCUGGUCUGAGAGGAUGACCAGCCUCACUGGGACUGAGACACGGCCCAGACUCCUACGGGAGGCAGCAGUGGGGAAUAUUGGACAAUGGGCGCAAGCCUGAUCCAGCCAUGCCGCGUGAGUGAUGAAGGCCUUAGGGUUGUAAAGCUCUUUUAGCAGGGAAGAUAAUGACGGUACCUGCAGAAAAGCCCCGGCUAACUUCGCGCCAGCAGCCGC